ACUUUUUCAAGGAGAUGCUGCUGGAGUCUGGACUGAUCUGGAUCCCAGACCUCAGUCUGAGGGUUAUUCAGAAUCACCUCUACAAAUCGCAGAAACAUGCACUGGCUUCAAAGGAGACCUGUGUCCUAAAGGUAUACAAUGCACACUGGUAUAUUUGUUAUUAAAAUAUCUAAUUAAUAGGGUUGAUCACCCAAAAUAGCCAUAAUUUACUCAGAUUCAGAUUAAUUCUUUAUUGGGUUAGGGUUAUUCACUCUAAUGUCAUUGCAAACCUGUGUGACCUUCUUCUGUAUAAGAUUAUGAUUAUUGUGUACUGAUUGUUAAAGCUCAAUGAAUCUUUUGCAGGGUCAUAUUGCCCAGUGGGUUCAUCUCUUCCUCAGCCCUGUGAUUCAGGCUCUUAUUGUAAUCAGACUGGUCUGCACACUCCUGCAGGCCUCUGUUUUGCUGGAUUCUUCUGCUCCACUGGCUCCUCAAAUCCCAGUGCUAUGCUUUGUCCUCCUGGACACUACUGUCCCCAGGGCACACAACUACCCCUGCCCUGUCCACAAGGCACAAUAAGGAACUCUGCUGGAGGAUCUAUUGCAGACGAUUGCCUUGAAUGUCCACCAGGAUAUUUCUGUGAGCGAAAAGGCCUAACCAAGCCCUCUGGUCUGUGUUCUGAGGGCUAUUACUGCCCUGGAGGACAGAACACAUCCAAACCACCAGAGUAUGUGUGUGGAGCAGGCCACUUCUGUGAAAGUGGCAGCAUCAUAGAGAGGCCAUGUUUCCCAGGAAGCUUCCAGCCCAGUCUAGGCCAACAUAGAUGUGAGGUGUGCCCUGCCCACUUUUUCUGUCAUGAAAACGGUAUGAAUGAUAUUUGCAACAAAUUAAUGGAUGAAAUAUAUAUCUCUUCUUUAUGCCUUUACAGUACAUAAGGAUGUUUUUCUUGUAACUAGGUAUGACGCAACCAUUCCCAUGUCAGCCUGGAUUUUAUUGUCCAGUUGGGGCAUCUAAUCAGCAUCCAUGUCCUCCAGGGAGUUAUGGGAACCUGUCUGGAUUGGCCGAGUCUUCUGAAUGCUCUCAAUGUGACCCUGGGACCUAUUGUAUGGGGUCAGGUAUGACGCAUGAACAAUGAUUAUAUUUUCCCCAGAGAGAACAUGCUAAUCCUGCUUGGUCUAAUAUGUGGAGCUGAUAUUAGUUUGUCUGUCCAGGAAAUGUGUCACCAACUGGCUCUUGCAGUGCUGGAUUCUUGUGUUUUGGAGGAGCCGUCCUUCCCUCCCCAAAUGAUAAUGAGACUGGAAUACUGUGUGCAACUGGGUCUUACUGUCCAGCUGGAAGUUUUGCAGGAAUACCUUGUCCCAAGGGCACAUUUAGGUAUCGAUGUGAGACAUUACAAUACCAAAGCACUGAAAUAAAUGUUUCAAAUCUUUAUAUUAAAAGCA
ensembl:lncRNA